ACUUUUGAGGUCCAGCCAAAUAUGGGAAAAGCCCCAGAGCGUCGUAACAUUAAGUCUAGGCUCUACACUUUAUAGUCAGUAUCAUGGGUUUACGGAGCAUGUAACUUCACCAUUAAAAUGAAAAUUUGGACUUUGAGUGAUAUCUGGACAUCAACCCCCCUGCUGAUAUGAGGCCCACAUGAAGUUGGACCUCGCUGAAGAGGCCCACAUGAAGUUGGACCUCUUGGAGUCCUGGAGUGAUUUCAUUUCCAGUAUUCUUCCGAAGGUUCCAGUGACGUCAACUGAUUUCAAAAUCCAUAAACUUUUACAAUGAUUAAUCCAUUUAAUGAAACAUGCUACAUGGGCCUAGUAAAUCAUGUUCUGAAUCUGUCUGGAUUAAUAGGAACCAUAUGGCAGCAUUAGCCAAGCAAACACAAUAUCCUGCUGUUAAACCAGCUUAUGAUCUUAAUUAUCAUGCAAGAAGUAGGAUUUCUUUUCUUUUUAUGUUGUGAUGAUAAUUUACCGGGGAUUUUUUGCCAUGUUACAGUAAUACACCAGAAUUGAGAUAAUACCCAGUGAUGGCAUUUCACAGUGUGGUCUCAACUGUAAUUGAAUUUUGAUGCACCAAGACCACCAAGGACGACAAGGACAAAUCUGGCAGUGCACAUCAGCCUCUGUCUGUCUGGCAUGGUGGUGCUGUGGAUGAUUGUCAUUCAGACACGGUUUAGCCAUUACAAAGUCCACCGUCCCUCUGAGUACGCACAAGGGUGAGACAUCAUUGUGUCAACGCUCCCUUCCGCUCAUCGUCUAAUACACACACACACGCGCACACACACACACCACACACACACACACACACACACACACACACACCCAGAUGCCUUUCCCUGUUGGUCAUUUGCUGGCACCUGCUGCAGACGAGGCGUCCCAACGACACGGCACAUGGGCUAUGCAUGGGCAAUUCACUUGGUGCCGGGAUGGGCCCGUGUUGACAUCUUUUGGCCAACUAUCCGGCCCUCUAUCCCUCCCUCCUACUCAGGACUGGUAUGAUGGAUCAGGCGAGCUACUAUCGCCCCUUUCCAGCCCCCGCUCCUCCCAUCUUCCCAUCUGUGGCCUUGGCUUAGAGUUGCUUUGAUGGCGAAGGAAUGAGCGGAGCACAUGCUCUCCUGAAUGCUCUGCGUACACUCCUGAGUAGACAUGCCCUGUUUGUGCUCUUGCUAAGGGGGUCCCCUGGUCAGAAAUGGAAUGCUGUGACCCUGGGCAUGUUGCUCUACCAACUGGGUGGGUGGCCAACACCGGCGAGCCGAACGGUGGAAUCCCGUCUCAUCUCAUCUUGGGUCACAUAUUUGGGAUCCCCGAGCUGCAUAACUUGACUGUGGAAUUGGAAGCUCACUGGAGCCGCCCCUGGGCAUAUUGUUUCUUUGCGUCCCUCAGCAUUUGUUCAGCAGACCAUGCGGUUUGUUAGCAGUCAAGCUGGGAAUAUGUUAUGAAACCACAGAUGAGAAAGUAGAGCUGUGGCCACCCAAACUGGUGGGAUGGGAACAUGACAGCACUGCACAAUGUGCCUCAUGGAAACUUAUGAAUGACAUAUGUUAUCAUAUGAGUUGAGUUUGGUACUGAGCUCUGCAGAUGUAUUUUCUAACAAUGCUGCCAUCAACUGGGGGGGGGACAAACUGCAUCCAAACUGUCUAUCUGUUUUGUAUUUAUGACACAUGAAUCAAUUCAAAUUGUGUUCAAUUAGUUGUGGGAGGCAUACUAUGAGUUGAAAUGUUUUAUCUGUUUAAUAAUUUGAUCUGUGACACAAGUCAAGCACUAUAGCUGCAUGCUGGUGAUGCUUUGAAAUACAGUGAUGCAACUGUAACAGCCUUGAAAGUGCAAUAUGUAGUUGUUGGUGUCAAAGCACUUAAAAAAGCUCAUGAUUCAGAUACACAGUUCUUUCAGUAGUCACAUGCCAUCUGAUUCUCAGUUUUUGACAUUUUAUUGGUUUCAAAUUGCAUGACCCAGCAGAGCACAUGAAAGAGCUGUGGUAUAGUGCAAUACACCUCCUGCCCAGUUAGUGGCACUGUGCCACCUAUGUUAUUCAAUAGAAUACGUAUACGAAGGAGAGAGAAGCAUGCGUGAAGACGUUGAGUAAAGAAAGUUAUAGAUCA